rnacentral:tRNA from 1 species
GCCAGUGUGGCGCAAUGGCAGCGCAACAGUUUUGUAAACUGUGGGUUGUAGGUUCGAAUCCUAUCACUGGCUCCA